rnacentral:tRNA from 1 species
UAGGAUGUGGCUUAAUGGGAGAGUAUUUACCUAGCAUCUACAAGGUCCUGGGUUCAAACCCCAGCAUUACAG